rnacentral:tRNA from 1 species
GCGAUCGUGGUGGAACGGUAGACACGCUACCUUGAGGUGGUAGUGCCCUAGGGUGUGGGGGUUCAAAUCCCCCCGAUCGCACCA